ACAUACUGGGGGUCACCUCCAGAAAGGCCAGCCAACCCAACCUAGACUUGCAGACACGGACGUGUGGCUCAGGGCACCGAGAGCAGGCAGGCAGGCUGCCAUCACGUGCCCCUGGCUGAAGGGCACACCUGGAAAAGGAAGCAGAACCCAAGCUCUGCUGGAGGAGGAGGAGGGAGGGGCCGUGCUUCCUGGAGGCGGGAUCAGUGCUUCCCUGGAGGGGCGGGGUCGGUGCUUCCCUGGAGGGCGAGGCCAGCGCUUUCCCGGAGGGGACCGUCCCCCCCCCCCCCCCGCCCCCCUGCAGGCAGCGCCAGCGCUGAAGUCACCAGCAACAAGACAGUGGUGUCCGGAAGCGGAAGCAGCCGUUCCUAAAAGUGCCUGCCUCCUACUGGCCCCCAGCUGGGUCCGGAAGCUUAGGAAAUUAAACCAGCACAAGCAGAAUGACUUUAAAUAGCACUCCAAAGUCCACACUAGGUCAUGGGUCAGCAGGGCUGUUUCCAGAAAAGAACCAGUCCCCUCCUGGGGCCAGAGAAGGUUUUUCCACCUUCAGGUGGGAAUCUGGCCCGAGAUGGGGGGGGAGAGCGGGGGCUGGGUGCUCUGGCCUCUCCCAGCAGGGCCGGCCCACCCCUUGCUCACGCACAUCCUAGCUUCUCGGGAAGGUCAGCAAUGAACCGGCUUCCCACAAACGCCCAACUCGGGGCGGCUAUUUCUGAGAAUUCACAUGAGCUCCGAAGUACACAGGACACAGGGGACGCCCCGCCCCGCUGGCCAUGGAUACCUGCAUACCCUGCCCGCGUGUGAGUGCUCCCCCAGGGUGGGGGGGGGGGGGGCAGGCCCCAGUGCUGGCGCAAACUGCUUCCUGUGACCUCACAACACGCGAGGGUUGCGCUGGUCUCCUUGCCUUUCAUGGAAGCUACUUCCUGCUCUGAGAGGCCAGGUGACCCGCCGAGGGCACCCUGUGACCCUCCUGCUUGGCGCCAGCCUUGCCCAUGGGCCCAGCCCCCCUCUUCCUGCUCGGCUCCGUGGGAUGGCUGACAGCGGCAUGGAAGGGGGUGUGCCGGCAGGGCUGGGCCCAGAACACAGACCACCAGCCAUGCUGAGGGGUGACCGGGACAGGACAGUGACCUGACCUUGGGACCCACUGCCCCAGACGUGCCUGGCAAAGCCCACUCCAAAGGCCAGGCUGCAUGGGGUGCUGAACUCUGCCUGGGAUUGCCGGAACACUGGCCACCACCAGUGUGGACCACACCACACCACAGGGACACACACCUUGGCCAGGACAGGCCAGCCUAGCCUCACACCAAGAGCCACGGGAUGCCUGACACAGACCCCAUCCUCAAGAGUCACAAGUGGCCCCGUCUCCAGGACACGUGGAAGCAGAUUCCUGGUUUUCCUCAAAAAUUCUAUCUGGCCCACUGGACCUAUCGUCCCCCAUAACAAUGCCUGGAACCAAGCGGAAGCUUGAGAGUGGCCGCCACUGUCCCAGGACGCAAGGCUCCAGAGCACCCAAGCAGCCUUCCUCCAGUGCCCUGGCCAAGGCCAGCCAUUCCUGGAAACACAGGCCCUGAGCGGGGGUCACAGGAACGUGUGAGGCAGGGUGCAGGAAGGCGGCAAAGGAGAGGCGUGGCCAACGGCCACCCAGCUACUCACCACAUUGUGAGCUUCGUCGAAAAUCACAACCGUCCCCUUCAGGUCAAUGCUGUGCGCCCGGCGGCUCUGCACCAAGAGGGGAAGGACGCAGGGCUGGAGCCAAGAAGCACGAGGCAGGCAGGGGUGGGCUGGCCCUCCCCCUCCUCCCCAAGCGUCACCACCGCACCGCCGGAGCCGCGGGCCAUCCCCUCCACUCCACCCACCCGCCGCUGAGCUGGACUUCAGGUGGCCCUUCUGGCGACACACACGGCACGAGGGAGCAGGCGCGAGCGAGCACCGCGGCUACUGCAGCCACACCCGCCUGCUGCCCGAGGAAGGGUCUAGUCUCAGGAACUGAACGAGCAAAGGCCCCACCGGCCCCUGUGAGGCCAGGGACACCCGCGGACGCCAGCACUCGGCAGCCACGCGAGCAGACGGCUCACCUUGGCGUCCAACAAGUAGUUGUACGGCACGAAGAUGAGGUCAGCCCGCCGCUUCAGGCUCCGAGACAGGUAGUACGGGCACAGCCUGUGGGGAGCAGGGAGGUGGCGCCGUGGGCACCACAGAGGGGGACCAGGUCCCCGGAGGGGCUCCUGCUGCGGGGCAGGCGUGACGAAGGAGCCCUCGCGCUGCCCGGGGCCCAGACAGGAGCCGGAGCCUGGGGACGGUGGGAGGGCCCACAACUCACACCUGAGUCUCUGACCGGGGACUCCGACUGGGCCGCCGAUUGAAAAUGCCACAUAAACAGGGGCGCCCGGGGGGCUCAGUCGGUUAAGCGUCCGACUUUGGCUCAAGUUACGAUCGUGCGGUUCGUGGGUUCGAGCCCCGCCUCGGGCUCUGUGCUGACAGCUCGGAGCCUG